UGUGAGGGUUGCUGGAGGUAUCAGAAGUGCGAAUGCUGACAUAAGUAACGAUAAAGCGGGUGAAAAGCCCGCUCGCCGGAAGACCAAGGGUUCCUGUCCAACGUUAAUCGGGGCAGGGUGAGUCGACCCCUAAGGCGAGGCCGAAAGGCGUAGUCGAUGGGAAACGGGUUAAUAUUCCCGUACUUGGUGUUACUGCGAAGGGGGGACGGAGAAGGCUAUGUUGGCCGGGCGACGGUUGUCCCGGUUUAAGCGUGUAGGUGUGUGUUCCAGGUAAAUCCGGUUCACUUUAACACUGAGGCGUGAUGACGAGGCACUACGGUGCUGAAGCAACAAAUGCCCUGCUUCCAGGAAAAGCCUCUAAGCAUCAGGUAACAUCAAAUCGUACCCCAAACCGACACAGGUGGUCAGGUAGAGAAUACCAAGGCGCUUGAGAGAACUCGGGUGAAGGAACUAGGCAAAAUGGUGCCGUAACUUCGGGAGAAGGCACGCUGACAC
rnacentral:rRNA from 2 species